rnacentral:lncRNA from 1 species
AGCAGUUCGAGCUGUUCAUGGUCAGUCACUUGGUUUCCUUCUCCAAUCAAUCCUGUAUAUGCUGUUCUCUUGUCGGUUUGGCAUGACCCACAUGGUUUGUGCCAAACUGACUGGUUUUUUAACCCUGAUGGGAGAAUGAAAAUAUUCUAACAAUUAUAACAAUUUUGUUGCUAAAGAUUUAAAAAACGCAUGACUCCUGGGAAGUGUGAGGCUGUCUGAAGGACUCCUAUCUAAGAUCAAAUUACUCAGUGACCAUAUACUUUUGGGCUCUGAAAAUAGCUCAGGUGGUUGGUAUGGAAAUGUAGUGAGGAGCUAAUUAGGCCUAAAAGAACUGGUUGAUAGGAGAUUGGAUAAGAGCUGUUUAUGUGUUGAUGUGGUUGAAGGCGAAUAGGUUAGGGAAAGGAAAAGAGAUGAAGGGGAAAGAAGCAGAGAAAAGGAAAGGUUUCAGAGGAAGGCAGAGUGAAUAUUC